rnacentral:rRNA from 1 species
AGUGAACGCUGGCGGCGUGCUUAACACAUGCAAGUCGAACGAGAACGGGUUAUAGCUUGCUAUAAUUGUCAGCUAAGUGGCGCACGGGUGAGUAAUGUAUAGGUAAUAUGCCUCUUACUAAGGGAUAACAAAUGGAAACGUUUGCUAAUACCUUAUACUCCUUAUUAACAUAAGUUAAUAAGGGAAAGAUUUAUUGGUAAGAGAUUAGCCUGUAUUGUAUCAGUUAGUUGGUGGGGUAAUGGCUUACCAAGACUAUGACACAUAACUGGUUUGAGAGGAUGAUCAGUCACACUGGAACUGAGACACGGUCCAGACUCCUACGGGAGGCAGCAGUGGGGAAUAUUGCACAAUGGACGAAAGUCUGAUGCAGCAACGCCGCGUGGAGGAUGACACAUUUCGGUGCGUAAACUCCUUUUAUAUGAGAUGAUAAUGACGGUAUUAUAUGAAUAAGCACCGGCUAACUCCGUGCCAGCCGCCGCAGUAAUAC